UACGUAGGGGGCAAGCGUUGUCCGGAAUCAUUGGGCGUAAAGCGCGUGUAGGCGGCCCGGUAAGUCCGCUGUAAAAGUCCAGGGCUCAACCCUGGAAAGCCGGUGGAUACUGUCGGGCUCGAGUCCGGAAGAGGCGAGUGGAAUUCCUGGUGUAGCGGUGAAAUGCGUAGAGAUGGGGGAGAACACUCGUGGCGAAGGCGGCCAGCUAGACCAGUUCUGACACUGAGGCGCGACAGCGUGGGGAGCAAACAGG
rnacentral:rRNA from 1 species